rnacentral:rRNA from 1 species
AGAGUUUGAUCAUGGCUCAGAUUGAACGCUGGCGGCAUGCCUUACACAUGCAAGUCGAACGGCAGCAUGAUCUAGCUUGCUAGAUUGAUGGCGAGUGGCGAACGGGUGAGUAAUACAUCGGAACGUGCCCUGUAGUGGGGGAUAACUAGUCGAAAGAUUAGCUAAUACCGCAUACGACCUGAGGGUGAAAGUGGGGGACCGCAAGGCCUCAUGCUAUAGGAGCGGCCGAUGUCUGAUUAGCUAGUUGGUGAGGUAAAGGCUCACCAAGGCGACGAUCAGUAGCUGGUCUGAGAGGACGAUCAGCCACACUGGGACUGAGACACGGCCCAGACUCCUACGGGAGGCAGCAGUGGGGAAUUUUGGACAAUGGGCGAAAGCCUGAUCCAGCAAUGGCCGCGUGUGUGAAGAAGGCCUUCGGGUUGUAAAGCACUUUUGUCCGGAAAGAAAUGGCUCUGGUUAAUACCUGGGGUCGAUGACGGUACCGGAAGAAUAAGGACCGGCUAACUACGUGCCAGCAGCCGCGGUAAUACGUAGGGUCCAAGCGUUAAUCGGAAUUACUGGGCGUAAAGCGUGCGCAGGCGGUUGUGCAAGACCGAUGUGAAAUCCCCGAGCUUAACUUGGGAAUUGCAUUGGUGACUGCGCGGCUAGAGUGUGUCAGAGGGGGGUAGAAUUCCACGUGUAGCAGUGAAAUGCGUAGAGAUGUGGAGGAAUACCGAUGGCGAAGGCAGCCCCCUGGGAUAACACUGACGCUCAUGCACGAAAGCGUGGGGA